UCUCCUGUGAUCACCCAUGGGAGAUAAUGCCUGACCUUUACUUCUACAGAGACCCAGAGGAGAUUGAGAAGGAGAAGCAGGCUGCUGCCGAGAAGGCUGUGACCAAGGAGGAAUUUCAGGGUGAAUGGACAGAUCGGAAGAGAGUG